AUCGACAUCAUUUUUUCCUUCCCGUACUUUUUAGUUUGCGAAAGUUUUCACAUCGUGGUUUUGACAGAUUUUUGAUUGCUUAAAAAAUAUUAACCGCACUGAAUGCCCCCAGAAAGACUUGCGCGAACACCCGAAAGCCGUUCUCACUUAUUUAUUUGAAUAUGUGGAUGAACGUUGAAAACAACCAAUUUCACACGAUAUUGCAUGAGCAAUGGAGAAAGCUGUAAAAAACGUAUUGUAUUUCUUCAACGAUGUACUUCGAAGUGUUGGUCGAGAGGGCAAAUGGACCAGUGAAGCACUGGAGAAAGCUGUGAACUGGGCUUACUACUGCGAGAAGGUCUAUAUCGAAGCCGUCGAUAAGGGUUUGGCAGACCAGCUAAGUGAUGCCCUGAACGGAUCGGCCGGAUGUACCGACUCGGAGAAGUUCAUCCCUAGCCUGGAGAGUUUAAGAAAUGCACCACAGCUCCUUUUUAUGGAAUUGCUGAGGCAGUCUUCGUUGAAACCAGCCAUUUCAAAUUUUCUUCUCACAUCGAGGCUUAUGAGUGAGCCCUGGGCAAGAGACGUCAUCUUUGACACAUUCACUACGAGCUCUGUCGCGAAGAGCUUGACCAAUGCUGAAAAUGAUGCAAGAUGAGAUUGCUUAGUAGAAAUAAACUUCAAACUGUAAGAGAAUCCUCUAUUAUUAGGUACCGUAAUUUCACGCGUAUAAACGCACCGCAGAUAAGACGCAGAACCAGUUUUUAGCAACGUUUUCGGGCACAUAAGCCACGGGCAAUACGACGCCACUGUGCGACAAAGGAGACCGUAGAGAAGGCCAUAAACCCUGUGGUCCAUACUCCGGGGUCAGCAUGAUGUAUAACACAGAAGUCAUUGCCAUGAUGGAUUCCUUGGUUUGAGCCAGGAACUGUGCUCCAUCUAAAUUCUGCAAAUGUACGUUUGACACAGUGAAAACUGUGGUUUGCACACAAACUACAGUAUAAUGGACACAUUGAUUUGCAGGAUGUGGACCUGUAUCAAAAGCUUUUCCACCGCACUUAUCCAGUGCAUUGCAUAAAUGUGAAGCAAAGUAAGCUGCUUGUUUGUUGAAUAAAGAGAAGUGAGAGA